rnacentral:rRNA from 1 species
UGGGGAAUUUUGCGCAAUGGGCGAAAGCCUGACGCAGCAACGCCGCGUGGAGGAUGAAGGUUUUCGGAUUGUAAACUCCUGUCAGUGGGGAAAAAGCGAGUCGACCUAAUACGUCGAUGAGUUGAUUGUACCCGCAGAGGAAGCCCCGGCUAACUCUGUGCCAGCAGCCGCGGUAAUACAGAGGGGGCAAGCGUUAUUCGGAAUUAUUGGGCGUAAAGGGCGCGUAGGCGGCCGUUCAAGUGGAAGGUGAAAUCCCCCGGCUCAACCGGGGAACUGCCUUCCAAACUGAAUGGCUUGAGUCCGGGAGAGGUGAGUGGAAUUCCCAGUGUAGCGGUGAAAUGCGUAGAUAUUGGGAGGAACACCGGUGGCGAAGGCGGCUCACUGGACCGGAACUGACGCUGAGGCGCGAAAGCGUGGGGAGCAA